rnacentral:lncRNA from 1 species
AUGUUUUUUUAUUUGUGUUUUGGAAAACAUUUGGAAGACAGAACAUGAAAGAGUCAUGUCUCUUUUGUCACAGUACAUUUUCUUCUAAAGAAUGUCAUCCUCUCCUGCAUCGUGUUUCCAAUCUGAUGUAAAAAAGUAACUCAGCAUUUCUUAAUCAUCACCCUUGCCUCUGCUGUUAUGGAAAGAGUCCCUGAAAAAUUCAAUAGGAGACAUCUUUAUAGAGAUACAGCUGCUCAUCUCAUAAUCUCCCUAGUAAGCUGGAUUUACACUCCACAAAAGAUUCAGCCUUUGACUAGGGAUUCCUUUCUCCAAAACUAUAUGGGAAUGAAAAACUUCUUAACUAGCUAAAUGACAGUAUCUUCACCUGGCUAGGACGGGGGAUCACUAGUUAUAACUUCUUGUAAUACGUAGCAGCCAACAGUGACUCUGUCCAGUUCCUUCAGUCUUGUUCUUUUGGUGGCUAAUGCAUUGCAUCUGCAAGGAGGAGCAACUGCAGAAUUGACAACCUGUUCCUUUAAUUCUUGCUCUUUCAACGGACUGGGAGAAAUUUCAAGUCCCCUGAGAA